GAUGAACGCUGGCGGCGUGCCUAAUACAUGCAAGUCGAGCGAACGGACGAGAAGCUUGCUUCUCUGAUGUUAGCGGCGGACGGGUGAGUAACACGUGGAUAACCUACCUAUAAGACUGGGAUAACUUCGGGAAACCGGAGCUAAUACCGGAUGAUAUUUUGAACCGCAUGGUUCAAAAGUGAAAGACGGUCUUGCUGUCACUUAUAGAUGGAUCCGCGCUGCAUUAGCUAGUUGGUAAGGUAACGGCUUACCAAGGCAACGAUGCAUAGCCGACCUGAGAGGAUGAUCGGCCACACUGGAACUGAGACACGGUCCAGACUCCUACGGGAGGCAGCAGUGGGGAAUAUUCGGCAACGGGCGAAAGCCUGACGGAGCAACGCCGCGUGAGUGAUGAAGGUCUUCGGGUCGUAAAGCUCUGUUAUUGGGGAAGAACAUAUGUGUAAGAAACUGUGGACAUCUUGACGGUACCUAAUCAGAAAGCAACGGCUAACUACGUG
rnacentral:rRNA from 1 species